rnacentral:rRNA from 1 species
UACGUAGGGAGCAAGCGUUGUCCGGAUUUACUGGGUGUAAAGGGUGCGUAGGCGGCUUUGCAAGUCAGAAGUGAAAUCUAUGGGCUUAACCCAUAAACUGCUUUUGAAACUGCAGGGCUUGAGUGAAGUAGAGGUAGGCGGAAUUCCCGGUGUAGCGGUGAAAUGCGUAGAGAUCGGGAGGAACACCAGUGGCGAAGGCGGCCUACUGGGCUUUAACUGAUGCUGAGGCACGAAAGCGUGGGUAGCAAACAGG